rnacentral:rRNA from 1 species
GAUGAACGCUGGCGGCGUGCCUAAUACAUGCAAGUCGAGCGAACAGACGAGGAUCUUGCUCCUCUGACGUUAGCGACGGACGGGUGAGUCACACGUGGAUAACCUACCUAUAAGACUGGGAUAACUUCGAGAAACCGGAGCUAAUACCGGAUAAUAUAUUGAACCGCAUGGUUCAAUAGUGAAAGACGGUUUUGCUGUCACUUAUCGAUGGAUCCGCGCCGCAUUAGCUAGUUGGUAAGGUAACGGCUUACCAAGGCAACGAUGCGUAGCCGACCUGAGAGGGUGAUCGGCCACACUGGAACUGAGACACGGUCCAGACUCCGAGGGGAGGCAGCAGUAGGGAAUCGUGCGAAAUGGGCGAAAGCCUGACGGAGCAACGGCGCGUGGGUGAUGAAGGUCUGUGGAUCGUAUAACUCUGUUAGGAGGGAAGAACAAAUGUGUAAGUAACGAUGCACGGUGUGACGGUACCUAAUCAGAAAGCCACGGCUAACUACGUG